rnacentral:rRNA from 1 species
UACAGGGGGGGCAAGCGUUGUUCGGAAUUACUGGGCGUAAAGGGCUCGUAGGUGGCCAACUAAGUCAGACGUGAAAUCCCUCAGCUUAACUGGGGAACUGCGUCUGAUACUGGAUGGCUUGAGUUUGGGAGAGGGAUGCGGAAUUCCAGGUGUAGCGGUGAAAUGCGUAGAUAUCUGGAGGAACACCGGUGGCGAAGGCGGCAUCCUGGACCAACACUGACACUGAUGAGCGAAAGCCAGGGGAGCAAACGGG